CUGGUAAAAUCGCAUCAAAAUAGCUUCUUUUACAUAUAUCCAAACCCUAGCCGGAUCCGCCGCCCUAGGAAGGAGCUCGGCUCUCGGCGGCGAGCACGGCAACAGCCUGCUCCGGCGGAUCUGGCGGCGCCGUCGCAGAGGCGAAGGACAGCGGCGCGCCAGAGGCGGAGGGCCCGUCGGCCAGGCCGGCAGCGAGGCGGUGGCGGAAGCCGCGGAGGCAGGCCGGCGUGGAUGGGGUCGGUGGAGGUGGCGGCGACCUGGUACGACAGCGGGAGGGAGUCAAUGCGAGGGGGUUCAGGCAAGGGAGUCAAUGCGAGGGAGUUCAGGCGAGGCUGGCGGCGUGGCUCGCACCGCGGCGGCUCCUCUCCUCCGGCGGCAAGGUGCUCGGCGAGGAGGAGAAGGCUGCCAAGAACAUGUACAUCAAGGUAUAUCCACCCCACUCGCUUCCCUAAUCUUCCUUCCCCCAAUCCACCCUACUCGCUUUCCUAAUCUUCCUUCCCCCUCGUGAUUGUUGCUGUUCUUGCUGCGGUAGAUGGGCUACAGAUGCAACUAGAGAUGUAUUGCUUGAGCUCUUCAUAAUUCAUCAACACUUCAUGACUGUUGAAACUGAAUUGCAUCUAUACGUUAUAAGUACUACUCCUAACCUGUAGAAUUAUCAAUCUAUGGCAAUCAACCUCAAUGAAUUAUCAUCUGACCUGCAAGCAGAAUGAGAAACCAAUAUAAUAUCAUAUAGCUGUAAGACAUGAUCUUUUGAACAAGAGACUUGCAUUAUGUAGUGUUUUAUUUAUCCAUCACUUGAGCAGUUUUCACAAUUCCUAUAUAUCGAAUGGUAAACUCUACUUCAACGUACUUUCAGAAAAUAUGAAAUAUAUAAAUGUUAACAGUAAGAUGAAAUCAAAAGUACUAAUCUCCAAUAGUCCAUAUAUAUCUGGAUCAUAUCCACCUGAAAUAAAAAAUUACCACUUUUUUAUGUACUGCAAUUUGUAAUUAGCAAUUAAACAUGUGCAUGCUGCAAAAAUAUUCUACAAAAACAGGACUAGCCAUCUUUCCUUUUCCUUUUAACAAACAGUAAUAGCAAACUAUCAGUCAACAGAGAACAUCUGCAUCAAGGUAUAUUCACCCUACUCGCUUCCCUAAUCUUCCUUCCCCCUCGUGAUUGUUGCUGUUCUUGCUGCGGUAGAUGGGCUACAGAUGUAACUAGAGAUGUAUUGUUGUGUUGUGUAGAGGUUUUGUAUGUGCUCCAAAUUGAAAUGAGGCUGUUUUUCCUGUGCGAAUUGCUGAGUUUGCUUCAACUUUCAUCCUUCCCAUGGUCACUUUUGGUGAGUUCCUGUGAGUCCCAUGGUCACCUUUUUUUAGAAAGUAAUAAGUGAAAUCCUAUUAUGAAUGUCAAAUCUGAUGACUCCUUUUAUCUUAUUCAUGUAAAAAGGAUUGGUUGCCACCAUAUGUGGUGCUCAGGAAUGUCAAAACUGUAGGGGCAUGUUUCUUCCUAACAUGUGAAGUGGUUUUUUUGCCUAUCUAGCAAACUUGUGGCUGUGCUUUCUCAUGUUAUACUAUGCUAAGCAGUUGCAUUGCAGUUUAAGAUGUCUCAGUUUAUACCCAAUCUUUGGAAAUUUGUGAGCAUGAUGUCAGUCUUUUCCUUUUAAAUUAAGGGAUAACAGGAAGAAACCAGGGCUGGCAGUUCGUUUUGUUUACCAAUUUUUCCACUGUGCAAGUGCAAAAGCAUUUCAGUGUCUUUUCAGAGUUCACGAAAGAACUGGGCUAUUUAUUUGGUAGCAGGACAGGAAAUAGGGUUGUUUUUUACACCUGUAACUGUUACUUUAGUAAGGAAAUUUGAGGGUGCCUCUCCCUCAUGCGUGAAAACCAUUAUUUCCACAGUGAAAAGGGGUAAAAAGGGAUUUACCAUAUCCACAGUGUGCUGUCUGUAAUAAUCUCCAUGUCACAUUGAACGGGCGUGCACACACACCAGUAAAUGUCUACUCAGCUUCCAGGAUUGUGAGCAACUUAAUUUUGCAAGCAACGAAAAUCAGAAACCUAGUGCAUACAAAUUCUAAGAGUCCCCCCUGUACGAUUGAAGAAUAUUUAUUUUCUUAAGUGAUUGCAAACAUAGUACUUCCCAUUACAACUUGUGAUUCAUGCCCUGUAAUGGAACUGAAUUAGCCUCUUUUGGAAGAGGAUGAAUGAUUAAACCAUUUUUUAAUACAUUAUUAUAACUUUUAUUGCUCUUUUGGGUAUGAUAAAUUGUUGUGGUUUCUAAACUUAUUAGGUGAUUUUUUAUCUUGCAGUAUUAAGUGUCAAUUUCAGAUCAUCAUGUAACAUCGGAAUUCAAGUUAUGUAACAGCUUGUGCUAGAAUGAAGGUGGAGAUAACAUGCAGAGGGAGACAGCUCCUCCCGAUCCUGACAUUGCAGCAUGUCCGUGACAUCAGUAACUGCAUGAAUAUUUUUUAUUCAUCUAUUAACUGCUUGAACAGUAGAAGAAACUAGGAUGAUAUGGCAGUUAUUGAUGUUUUAUCUAGCGCAUAUGCAGUGCUGCUAAGCUCACUUGGAAGAUCUUGGUCAUGCGACAUCCGGUGAAAUUUUGGUUACUGUGAUUGUAUUUGGAAUGUCACUAGAUUUGGCUGUUAACUGUGCUGUAAAUUUUGUGUUGUAUUGGAUGUUUGUCGAGUUGUGUUGGUUUGAAUCUGAGAUGGCAUGAGAAAUUGGAUUGAA